rnacentral:lncRNA from 1 species
UGCCAGUCCAAUGAGCAAAGGGAUGAGUAGGGAACUCGCUGCCAGCAGCCAGCAAGGCUGGGAUGUCCAGAGCUGCUGGCGAGAGAAGGAAGAUGGCACAGGUGAUGGGGGUCCCUAGCAGCUAUCUCUACCACCCCCACCACGUUGGGGAAACAUCGGUUAUAGGCGUGUCCUGAUCCCUGGUGGUGACCCUCUUCUCUCCUUGCUCCUAGUAUUUCUGCCUGUCGCUUAUUAUCUGGUUGAGCUGGUGGCGGGAGUCCCGGCCCAUGUGUGUUACCAGAGGGAUGGUCUAGAGGAUGAAUCCAUCUGUCAGAGGCAUCCAAGAAGAAAGGCCUGGGCCAGGAUCACAUGGAAGACCCUGAAGACAGGAUCGAGUCUUACCUGCCUGGAUUGAACAGGGAUGCAGUGACCAGUCCCAUCUGCUCCCACCCUGCUGCCCUCUGAAUCGAGAGUUUGAGGCCAUGACCAGGGUAACGUUCAGCUGGUAGAGACAACACAACCCUGCUGGCUGUUUAAGCCAUGCUGGAAUGGUGCUCACAGGGUAACAAUUGUAAGUAUUUUGAAUAUCACCUCUUAAUCAAAAUUAAGAUCAACAGACAUUUCAGUUUCUGGUGUCUAGCCUCACCUCCGCCUCCCACCACCUCUGGCUGCCACCCUUUACCUGAGCCUCCCAGCCUCCCUCAGCUCUGCCCAGUGCACCUGCGCCCUGAAUCACGGCCCAGCUUCUGUAACCUCCUCUUUAUGGCCAUCUUCUACCCUGUUUCCCACUGAUAGUCAUCACACCAUCCACAGGCCACAGUGCUCUAGAGUUAGCUGGGGAGGCCUGGCAGCAGGCCUGGGUGGUAGGCAAGGGUGGGGUGGUCCCGCUGAUGCCAUCUUAUCACUCCUCAGCUGAGUGAUGAACAGAAGCAGCACUUGAGCCAGACUCUGACCAAGAACUACGGGCAGGCUAG